rnacentral:misc_RNA from 1 species
AAACAUUUUUGUACAAAGUCGAAAGACAGUGUCUGAUUGGUAAACUGACUUUCUGAAGGAAGAAGCUAUGGAUCCCCUUUUCUUGGCUUACAGUUAUUACAGAAGGAAGAAGUAUGAACAGUGUACAGAAAUUUGUACACAAUUGUUGGAGAAAAAUCCAUAUGAUCAGGCUUCAUGGACUUUAAAGACAAGAGCGUUAACAGGUCAAGUAUAUGUAGAUGAAGUGGACGUUGAUGAGGAGGGUAUUGCUGAGAUGGUGAUGGAUGACAAUACUAUCGCUCAGGUUUCCCGACCAGGAACUUCACUUAAACAGCCAGGGACUGGUCGAGGGGCUCCAAGCCAAGGAGUCAGGCCCAUGUCUCAAUCUGGUCGGCCCCUGUCUGGCUUUGUGAGGCCAAGCACACAGGGAGGGAGACCAGGCACCAUGGAAAAGGCCAUAAUGACCCCACGGACUGCCCACACAGCCCGGCCGGUCACCAGCGCCUCUGGACGUUACGUUAGACUAGGGACGGCUUCCAUGCUUUCCACACCUGAUGGUCCUUUUAUCAACCUGGCCAGGCUAAAUUUUACAAAAUAUGCAGCCAGACCAAAUUUAGCCAAAGCUUUGUUUGAAUAUAUAUUUCAUCAUGAGAAUGAUGUGCGAAAUGCAUUAGAGCUUGCUGCUCUUGCCACAGAGGCAUGUCAGUUCAAAGACUGGUGGUGGAAGGUACAGCUAGCCAAGUGUUAUUACAGACUUGGAAUGUACCGAGAUGCAGAGAAGCAGUUGAAGUCGUCCUUGAAGCAGCAGGACCAUGUAGACACUUACCUGUACCUGUGUAAGGUGUACUGUCGGCUCGACCAGCCCCUUACUGCCAUAGAGGUCUUCAAACAGGGGCUGGAAAAGUUCCAGGGGGAGACCACUCUCAUGACAGGAAUAGCAAGGAUUUAUGAGUAUGUAUGUGGAAGCUAUUGCCUGUAUUGCCACAAACCACUUCUACACAGACCAACCAGAAGUGGCACUCAAAUUUUAUAGGCGUUUACUACAGAUGGGAGUGUAUAAUGCUGAACUGUUCAAUAACCUUGGCCUAUGCUGCUUCUAUGCUCAGCAGUAUGACAUGACCUUGACCUGCUUUGAGAGAGCAUUGUCUUUAGCAGAAGAGGUCACCUUGUCUGAAGUUUGGUACAAUAUAGGCCAUGUAGCAUUGGGUAUUGGCGACAUGACACUAGCUUAUCAAGCCUUCAGGUUAACCUUAGCCAAUAAUAACGAUCAUGCUGAGGCGUAUAAUAAUCUCGGUGUCCUUGAACUUAGGAAGGGCCAUGUAGAGAUGGCUAGAGCAUUUUUCCAAGCAGCACUGGGUCUGGCCCCACAUAUGUAUGAGCCCCACUAUAACUGGGCCGCACUAGCAGAUCAGCUUGGAGACCUUCAAAGCAGUUACAAUGCUGCGAAAAGGGCAGUUGAUGCAUUCCCAAAUCAUGUGGAUUCAAAGGAACUUCUCAAGCAGCUAAAACAUCACUUCUCCCUGCUCUAAAGAACAAUACAAAGCGAUAAUUAAUUUAUGUUAUUUAAUUUAUUGAUAUAUUGACAUCCAAUUGGAAACAAUGUCUGUGAUACCUGCAAAUAAAUGAAUAUCUUAUAGCUGCAUAUUUAGAUAGCAAGAUGGCCCAGUCUACUUCUGUGUUUUAUUCUAAAAAAUUAUAUUUUUUUGCCAUUUUUACCAUUCAUAUGCUGUAAUUUUAUAUUAAAUUUGUAUUAAUUUAUGUUUAUCAGUAUUUGUUCCGUCCAUCUAUUUUUGUCUUUGCAAUCUUUGUUUGUAUAAUUAAAUAAUAAUUAAA